rnacentral:tRNA from 1 species
CGGAAAUAGCUCAGUGGUAGAGCACCACCUUGCCAAGGUGGGGGUCGCGGGUCCGAAUCCCGUUUUCCG